CAGUCGCCGCGGUAGUACGAAGGGGGCUAGCGUUGCUCGGAAUGACUGGGCGUAAAGGGCGCGUAGGCGGUUCGUACAGUUGGAUGUGAAAUUCCUGGGCUUAACCUGGGGGCUGCAUUCAAUACGUGCGGGCUUGAGUGUGGAAGAGGGUUGUGGAAUUCCCAGUGUAGAGGUGAAAUUCGUAGAUAUUGGGAAGAACACCGGUGGCGAAGGCGGCAACCCGGUCCAUAACUGACGCUGAGGCGCGAAAGCGUGGGGAGCAAACAGGAUUAGAUACCCCGGUAGUCCCUGUCUCUUAUAU
rnacentral:rRNA from 1 species